GAUCCUGGCUCAGAUUGAACGCUGGCGGCGUGCUUAACACAUGCAAGUCGCGCGCGAAAGGACUUCGGUCCGAGUAAAGCGGCGCACGGGUGAGUAACGCGUGGAUGAUCUACCCAUGAGUUAGGAAUAACGGCUGGAAACGGUCGCUAAUACCAAAUACGCUCCGAUUUCAACUUCGGGGGAAAGGUGGCCUCUGCUUGCAAGCUACUGCUCAUGGAUGAGUCCGCGUCCCAUUAGCUAGUUGGUGGGGUAACGGCCCACCAAGGCGACGAUGGGUAGCCGGUCUGAGAGGAUGACCGGCCACACUGGGACUGGAACACGGCCCAGACUCCUACGGGAGGCAGCAGUGGGGAAUAUUGCGCAAUGGGCGAAAGCCUGACGCAGCGACGCCGCGUGAGGGAUGAAGGUCCUCGGAUCGUAAACCUCUGUCAGGAGGGAAGAACCGCCACGGUGCUAAUCAGCCGUGGUCUGACGGUACCUCCAAAGGAAGCACCGGCUAACUCCGUGCCAGCAGCCGC
rnacentral:rRNA from 1 species